rnacentral:rRNA from 1 species
AACGAACGCUGGCGGCAUGCCUAACACAUGCAAGUCGAACGAGACCUUCGGGUCUAGUGGCGCACGGGUGCGUAACGCGUGGGAACCUGCCCUUAGGUUCGGAAUAACUCCCCGAAAGGGGUGCUAAUACCGGAUAAUGUCUUCGGACCAAAGAUUUAUCGCCUUUGGAUGGGCCCGCGUUGGAUUAGCUAGUUGGUAGGGUAAAAGCCUACCAAGGCGACGAUCCAUAGAUGGUCUGAGAGGAUGAUCAGCCACACUGGGACUGAGACACGGCCCAGACUCCUACGGGAGGCAGCAGUGGGGAAUAUUGGACAAUGGGCGAAAGCCUGAUCCAGCAAUGCCGCGUGAGUGAUGAAGGCCUUAGGGUUGUAAAGCUCUUUUACCCGGGAUGAUAAUGACAGUACCGGGAGAAUAAGCUCCGGCUAACUCCGUG